rnacentral:lncRNA from 1 species
AUUCAUCCCUGUGUCUUUCUGACUCUAAUCUUUCCAUUUGUGUUAACAGGAGAGGAAAAGAGGUGAUCACAGAAUAACUGCUUUCAGGAAGCUGCUGUGACAGAAUGGGCCUCUGAGCACGAACGGCCCAGAAUCCUGUUCCACGCGGACCAUUUGUAGGUAACUUGGGAACUGCAAUUAUCUGACAGUUCUUGAAGCGGCUCAACUUCAUGAUAUUCUUUGGAGGAAAUCCUGAGGGUCAGUACUAGUGGGGAAGAAGUUGUUCUCUUAUCUAGAUCAGCUGGGAAGAAUCAGAGUG